UCCCUGGUGGUCUAGUGGCAAAGACUCUGCGCUUCCAAUGCAGGGGCCCGGGUUCAAUCCCUGGUUGGGGAA